AUAGUACUUCCUCCGUCCGAAAAUACUUGUAACAGGAAUGGAUGUAUCUAGAUGUAUUUUAGUUCUACAUACAUCUAUUUUUAUAAAUUGGUGCGACAAGUAAUUCCGGACGAAAGGAAUAUAUA
rfam:Hordeum vulgare subsp. vulgare, WGS project CAJW01000000 data, contig: morex_contig_1571724